rnacentral:siRNA from 1 species
AUUCGAAUGGUGACCGAAUCGCAC